UUUUGAAAAUCAAAGUCAAACAGCCGUUCUAAGUCCACAGACUGAUUUCUGCUUUCAGUGUUCCUGUGUUUAAUUUUAGUGUGCUUCUGGAGAAGUGUGUCACUCUGUCAGGCUUUUGUGACAUUGACAUGAAUUGUGGUACUUUUGCAGGGGCGGUUGGAUGUUUACGAUAAAACUGAUGCAGCGGGCAGCGUGUAUGUGUGUGUGUGUGUGUGGCACUGUGCCAUGAGGACGCUGGCACAGUAGUGGCAGAAGCAUCGUGAAAAAUCCCACACAGAUGGAUGAACCUGUGUGUGUGUGUGUGUGUGUUAUGAGGCCAAGGUCAGUGAGCUGUUGUUGUUUACCUGGUUCGCGGGUGGUUGGUACAUGCAGUUCUCUGGCUGAAUGUUUGUUUAAUUCAGAUGAAGGGCAGCAGGUCUCAUUCUGCCCCCAAAAACGCCUGCUUUAGCCCUAAUUUCCAUCAUUUCUACACAAAAUCAUAUGUCCCUUUAUACUUUAGAAAUGUAUUUUAUUACUGUUGACUUUAGUCAGUAAUAACCACUAUCAGUCGUAUGUGUGUGUUUAUGUGUGACUGUGUGUGUGUUUUUAGGUGGACAUGGGUACCAGCCAGUAAUAAUAAUGUAAGCUGAUCCUCCGUGUGAGAGAGAUCUGCCUGAGGCCAGAUCACAUUUACGGAGAACAGGCGUCUCGUUGGUCACGUGAUGACGUUGACUCACGUUCACCUCUGGUGUCAGGGCCAAUCAGGGGUCAGCGAGCGCAGACAAUAUCUGGUCUCCCCUCAGACUCAACCGUGUCUCUGCAUCAGCAGAAAAACUCAAGAUGUUUGCUGGAGAAGCGCUAGAGUGCUGGACACCGAACCAGCAGUCAGCAGAAAAACAAGGGCCAGCGGCCAACCAGACAGACGGAGGGUUAGAGAGGUCCAAAGAGCCAACGCUUCACUGAAACUCACACACAGAAGAGCGUUUGUAAGAUUGUAAGGACAGAAAUACACUGACCUGUCGUGACCACACAAAUGGAGCAAUUAACAGCCUGUUAAUGAUGAGUAAUGUCCAUCUCAUUAGCUAUUUCUGUGCAAAAUAGUCCACUUUUAACCUCACCAAUCUAUUUUAAAUCAAUAAAGUGAAUUAAUGAUGAACCUUU